rnacentral:snoRNA from 1 species
UGCCCCUGACUUGGGUAGUGGCAUGUGGCUGGUGGUGCCAUCUCAUAUCAGUCAGGGACAAAGCAACCCCUUGUUUACCGCAGCCUGGCUUCGGGUCAGCGCCCAUGCCUUUAGACGGGAAA